rnacentral:lncRNA from 12 species
GGGGGAAAUAGAGUCUGUAUUUCCAGUAAUACCUAUCAUGAUGUUAAGAAGAAAAUUAAAACAAUAUGGGGUGCUCACACCUGGAUGAAAGAAACCUACAGACCUAUGCAAGUCACCUGGGACUCUUGGCUACAUGUGCAGUGAUCACUCUAAUUAUAAUUUCAAAUAUUAUCUUCACUAUCUGGCAGAGUUCAAUCUUACCUGUUUGUUCAUCCAUCCUUUGUUUUGCCCCACGAAAGAUUCACAGCAGCUUACAAAGAGAAACAAAAGCUAAAAAUGGAAGACAAAGGAAAAAUGAAAAGUUGAGCUGGGCUGGUGACAUCACAUGGAAGAGCAGUUCUGCAGACGCUGCAGCUGGCGGUCACCUAGAAAGCGCCACCUGGACCACGCACCCAUAUAAAGUCUCAAAGCAGCAUAUGGCCCCUAGUAAGUGCUCAAUAAAUGCCAGUGGUUAGUGUUCCUACUACUAUUCCCAUGUGUCAGAUGUGUGCCCCACCUUUUCUGGGGAGGAGCUGGGCUGCACAGUAGGCAGGGGGUGAAAGUAGCUGGCUGUCUGAGCUCCUGGAUCUCGCCUACAUAGUCUGGCACCUGUGUGAGCACGAAACGUGGCCAGACUGAGCUUGGGCAAUGCCACAUCUGGGCUCCAGGAAAAGCAGGCUUACUCCAGGUAAUGCUCGAAAACUGAAACUCCAUAAAUAGGGUUAUUGGCGGUGUGGGGAGCAAGCCAAAUCUGAGCUAAGAGGAACACCUUCCAAGCAGAAACCUGUGAGCAUCAGCAUUUCAUCCUUGGAGGGCGAAGUCCUUUUAAGGAAUUUUUUAAAAGGCCAUUAGAAAUCCUUUGUGAUUUCCUGGACUUACAUCAGGAUGAAAGAGAGUGAAAAUGCAGCUUAUAGAUGGUUAGGCCAUGUGACUCCAGGAUCCAGAAGAAUCCUCCUUUUACCUCCUGCUUUCCCUCUCCGCUCCUGCUCCUUGCUUUGUCCUCCUUUUCAAAACCUCAUUAAACGGUUCACCACCGUUGGUCCUAUCAUGUCAGGAGGCAGCUGGUGCCAGAGUGGGCCCAGAGCCGAAUCCAUUUGGAGUUGAAAUGCCCGCCCCCUGGGUUAAUCUCUGGGGCGGGUGCGUGUGAAACGGGGGCAGCACCAGGCACGGACGAGGCGCGUCGGUGUCGAGUUCCGGGCCCCAGGAUGUGUGGGGCCGCAUCCCAUCCCGGCAGUCACGUCACUUUCUUCUUUUACCGAAAACCCAAACCAGCUCCAGCCAGAGGGCGGUGGGAGUGGACAAACGUGCAGGGGGAAGGAGAACAGAAGCGUCUCUGCCAGCUGCCCCCCCCCCGCCCCCCGGUCUGGGCUACCAAGGGCCUGGCCCGCCCUGCUGAGCCCCACGCAGGCCGGGCCAGGUCCGGGAGGAGUUACGUGCGGCUCCGUGUGUUUCUGGCUUCUCUGCAAAUACUGCGAC